GACGAACCGUGCGAACGUUAUUCGGAAUCACUGGGCUUAAAGCGCGUGUAGGCGGGACGGCACGUCGGCCGUUGAAAUCCCCCGGCUCAACCGGGGAAGGGGCGCCGAUACGACCGUCCUGGAGGAACGUAGGGGGAGCUGGAACUUCCGGUGGAGCGGUGAAAUGCGUUGAGAUCGGAAGGAACGCCCGUGGCGAAAGCGAGCUCCUGGACGUUUUCUGACGCUGAGACGCGAAAGCCAGGGGAGCGAACGGGG
rnacentral:rRNA from 1 species